CACUGUACCUACUGUAAACCGGUUUACAACCAUUCGCAUGAGCUCCGGAAUCAUGUAGCUAAUCACAUGCGAAAUGCAGUUCAAGAAGAAGAAAACUGGCAAGUCACAUUUACCUGGCCACUGGAACAUGUCUGUACUGGCAGAUUUUAAGGGUGCCCCUCUUCAGCUUGGAGGAAUUGAU